GGGAUGUGUGCAGCGGAGUGUAGCAGCGUGGACGGAGUGCGGCAGAGUGCAGCGCAGUGCGGGGAUGAACAGCGGAGAGCAUGAAGACACCAACACGGCUGCUAGAAUCGGAUUUUCACAGAAAUGAGAACAACUUAUUAAAAAGAACAGUGUUAGAGCCAUUUUGCAGGCUUCUGCUGAAGAAAUCCCAUUAUUGAUAAGGAAGCCUUAUGUUUUCUAUGUUUAAGGCAACGUAAUCACCUCAAAUUCCAUCCAUACUGUUGUAAAGAAAUGUGGUGCCUCCCCGGUGGCGCAGCGGUUGAGCACUGGGUUGUGAAGCUGCCCGCAGCCUCUGCAGCACUGGUUCGAUCCCCGAUCCCGGGCUGCUCCCCGGCAACUGGAGGAGGGUCCCACAUGGUGCGCAGACCUCUCCUGUCUCCCGCUGCUCCCCUCAGCAGUGUACUUCAGUCUGCUUGCUCUCUUCCCCACUCUGGCUCUGGUGAAUUCUUUCACCCUCCCGUGCUUCUGACUACCCAG